CACUCCUGCGGGAGGCAGCAGUGGGGAAUUUUGGACAAUGGGCGAAAGCCUGAUCCAGCCAUGCCGCGUGCAGGAUGAAGGCCUUCGGGUUGUAAACUGCUUUUGUACGGAACGAAACGGCCUUUUCUAAUAAAGAGGGCUAAUGACGGUACCGUAAGAAUAAGCACCGGCUAACUACGUGCCAUCAGCCGCGGUAAUACGUAGGGUGCAAGCGUUAAUCGGAAUUACUGGGCGUAAAGCGUGCGCAGGCGGUUAUGUAAGACAGUUGUGAAAUCCCCGGGCUCAACCUGGGAACUGCAUCUGUGACUGCAUAGCUAGAGUACGGUAGAGGGGGAUGGAAUUCCGCGUGUAGCAGUGAAAUGCGUAGAUAUGCGGAGGAACACCGAUGGCGAAGGCAAUCCCCUGGACCUGUACUGACGCUCAUGCACGAAAGCGUGGGGAGCAAACAGGAUUAGAUACCCGUGUAGUCCCAUGA
rnacentral:rRNA from 1 species